rnacentral:rRNA from 1 species
GAUGAACGCUAGCGGCAGGCUUAACACAUGCAAGUCGAGGGGCAGCGCGGGAUAGCAAUAUCCUGGCGGCGACCGGCGGAAGGGUGCGUAACGCGUGAGCGACAUGCCCGUUGCCCGGGGACAACCGGUGGAAACGCCGACUAAUCCCCGAUGGGAUAUUGUGCCGCAUGGCACGAUAUUGAAAGUUACGGCGGCGACGGAUUGGCUCGCGUCCGAUUAGCUUGUUGGCGGGGUAACGGCCCACCAAGGCUGCGAUCGGUAGGGGUUCUGAGAGGAAGGCCCCCCAGAAUGGGACUGAGACACGGCCCAUACUCCUACGGGAGGCAGCAGUGAGGAAUAUUGGUCAAUGGGCGGAAGCCUGAACCAGCCAUGCCGCGUGCGGGAAGGAGGCCCUAUGGGCUGUGAACCGCUUUUGCCUGGGGGCAAUAAGGGCGUCGCGCACGUCCGAUGAGAGUACCAGGCGAAUAAGCAUCGGCUAACUCCGUG